GAUGAACGCUGGCGGCGUGCCUAAUACAUGCAAGUCGAGCGAACGGACGAGAAGCUUGCUUCUCUGAUGUUAGCGGCGGACGGGUGAGUAACACGUGGAUAACCUACCUAUAAGACUGGGAUAACUUCGGGAAACCGUAGCUAAUACCGGAUAAUAUUUUGAACCGCAUGGUUCAAAAGUGAAAGACGGUCUUGCUGUCACUUAUAGAUGGAUCCGCGCUGCAUUAGCUAGUUGGUAAGGUAACGGCUUACCAAGGCAACGAUGCAUAGCCGACCUGAGAGGGUGAUCGGCCACACUGGAACUGAGACACGGACCGGGCAGCUGCGGGAUGCAGCAGUAGGGAAGGUACAGAGAUGGGCGAAAGGGCGACGGAGCAACGCCGCGUGAGUGAUGAGGGCCUGCGGAAGUUAAAAGUGUGUGAAGAGGGAGGAGGAUAUGUGCAAGAAGCGGUGCGCAACUGGACGUGGCCUAGUGAAAUGAGCAGGGUAAGCUAUGGG
rnacentral:rRNA from 1 species